GAGUUUGAUCUUGGCUCUGGACGAACGCUGGCGGCGUGCCUAAUACAUGCAAGUCGAGCGAGCAAUCUUAACGGAAUACUUCGGUAGGAAGUUAAGAGGGCGAGCGGCGGAUGGGUGAGUAACACGUGGGCAACCUGCCCUAUAGCUUGGGAUACCACUUGGAAACAGGUGCUAAUACCAAAUAAGCAGCACGAGCGCAUGCUCAAGCUGUAAAAGGCGGCUUUAAAGCUGUCACUAAAGGAUGGGCCCGCGGUGCAUUAGCUAGUUGGCAAGGUAACGGCCUACCAAGGCGAUGAUGCAUGGCCGAGUGGAGAGACUGACCGGCCACAUUGGGACUGAGACACGGCCCAAACUCAUACGGGAGGCAGCAGUAGGGAAUCUUCCACAAUGGACGCAAGUCUGAUGGAGCAACGCCGCGUGAGUGAAGAAGGUUUUCGGAUCGUAAAGCUCUGUUGUUGGUGAAGAAGGACAGGGAAAGCAACUGAUUCUUGUUUGACGGUAAUCAACCAGAAAGUCACGGCUAACUACGUGCCAGCAGCCGCAGUAACAC
rnacentral:rRNA from 1 species